rnacentral:rRNA from 2 species
ACCCACACCGAGUUGGCAGGUGGCGCGAGGGGUACCAUGCCGCGAUCGUCGCUUGCCUGCUCACCCGCCUCGCCAUGGCCUAGCCCAGUCGAGUGCGGACCAAACGAACCCCGGCGCGAAUCGCGCCAAGGAACACGAAUCGAAGGGAUGGUGGCUGUCGCCCCGGGAACGGUCGGCACGGUCACGUCCCGUCCAUUGAGAAUCCAAAACGACUCUCGGCAACGGAUAUCUCGGCUCUCGCAUCGAUGAAGAACGUAGCGAAAUGCGAUACUUGGUGUGAAUUGCAGAAUCCCGUGAACCAUCGAGUCUUUGAACGCAAGUUGCGCCCCAAGCCAUUAGGCCGAGGGCACGUCUGCCUGGGUGUCACGCACAGUCGCCCCUCUCUCACACGUGAUGAGGAGGGGCGGAUGAUGGCCUCCCGUGCGUUACCCGCUCGCGGUUGGCCGAAAAGAGUUCGCGGACGACUAAUGACGUCGCGACGGUCGGUGGUAUGCAAAGCUGUGCCCGUCGCGCCCCGUCGCCUUGCAGGAUGCCAGCAUGACCCUGACGUGCGUCUAAGCAUGACGCUCGC